rnacentral:rRNA from 1 species
UACGUAGGGGGCAAGCGUUGUCCGGAUUUAUUGGGCGUAAAGAGCGUGUAGGCGGCCUGAAAGGUCAGCUGUGAAAACUCGAGGCUCAACCUCGAGACGUCGGUUGAAACCAUCUGGCUAGAGUCCGGAAGAGGAGUGUGGAAUUCCCGGUGUAGCGGUGAAAUGCGCAGAUAUCGGGAAGAACACCCGUGGCGAAGGCGGCACUCUGGGACGGUACUGACGCUGAGACGCGAAAGCGUGGGGAGCCGAACGAGGA